GUUAUUUGUUUUGAUUCGAACCGAAAAAUCUAAAGUUUUAUUGGAACCAUGCAUAUGAGUUUUAUAUUAAAAAAAUACAAAAUAUAUAGUAUGAACACAUUUAUGAAUAUAGUGUGAACGUGUUAGCAUAUUUAUUAUCAAAUCAUUGUGAGGGUGUCACGUGUCUAUUAUAGUGUGAAUACAUUUAUUACAAUAUUUCUCAUUUAAUAUAUAAGGGAUGAUUAAUUCGACAUUCACAGGAUUUCCAGAUUUAAUUAUGAAUGGUUGAGGGAAACAAUGAAUAAAACUGAAUAACUAGUUAACUCCUCCAUGGUGUUCUUUAGCUUUCUUUUUUUUCUUUUAUUUUUUUUGUGAACAACUAGCUUUCUAUGAUACAAGAUGAGACGAUAAGUAUAUACUAAUCUCUUAGGGUAAGUUUAUUUUUAAAAAAUAUAAAUUUACUAGUGGUAUUCCGGCGCUGCGCGCCGGGUUCGAAUGUUUUAUUUGCGGAAGAGUUCAAAUUGUUGUGUUCUUGUGUGUGGUAGUUAAUAGUGUCUGUAGUUUAGUGUAGUUGAUUGCUUCUUCAUAGUAAAUAUAGUUGUACAUUUAAGUGUUGAAAUGUCUAUGGUCGGGAGCGAGAAUAAGUAUAAUGAAUGUGUCUGUUUUGGGUCUACAAAUCAUGUCAUGGUUCGUAUAUUUAGAAUAAUAGAUGUUGUUGUAUUAUAGUGUUUCUCAUUCUAAGGAAUUUUGAAUGUAGGAAUUUUAUUCAUAGGAGAGUAGUAAUCAUUUUAAAUUGGUAUAGGUAAGAAUUUUUUUUUAAAAACCCCACAAAAGAAAAAAAAACAAUAACAUUGUUUUCUAUCUAUGAACUAUGUAUUGGAUAAAUUUCUCCAAUCUCAAAAGGUAGCAGCAAUUCUUGCAUAGAUGAUUCAUGUUUUGGAAGUCGCAGCUUCGUAUGGGUUUGAGUCUCGCCAUGUUGUUUAAAUAGUUGUCUUCUAAAAGAAUACUGUAAACACUGAUUUUGUUUUUAAACCUUUUUCAGCAAUGACAGAUGUAGAUAGUGACAUAGUGUGUGUUCCCAGUCAAGUGUGUCAAGCAACAUUUUUCCCUCUCUGAUUUUUCCUGAGUAGAGCAGCAGUAAACAACAAAGAUAGGUAUAUAUUAUUUUGUUAAUUAUUGUUUUAAAUAAUUCAUGUAUAUAUAUUUUAAUACAUUGCUUUGAAACUAUAAACUUUAAUGCAUGAUACCAAUAAUCACAGAUGAUAGCAAACUUGCCCAAAAUUAAUUACUUCGUUAGACUAUCUUUCAUUAUUAUACAUGAUAUUUACUCGAUUUUCUUACAACAUUGGCUUAAGCUCUCUAGUACUCAUCCAGGAUAAAAACACAAAAGAAAAAUUAAAUAUUUGUUUUACCUGCACUACGUCUAUUGCCCUCUAUGAACCGUGAAAGCUAAAGGACGACACACAUCUGUUAUUUAUAUUCGGCUCCAAACUGGGCAAUUACCUGAGUUAAAACUAUUGUUCUACAGAGUUUUUAAUAUUUGAUAUAAUUUAGGUACUCUUUAGAGUAGUACACCUUUUCCGAACACGCUUUUCUCCUGCCACUUAGAUUGCGAACUCUCUCUAUCCAGAUAAGGUAGCACCGGUGACAGCCUAUGAAAAGGGCGGGGAAAAUGAUUGUAGUAGAAAAUGUGAAAUUUUGGAUAUAUGUUGUCAUGUGAUGAUGGUGUGCUUCUUAUACCUCCUAUGUUGAUAAGCCGCUCUCUCGAUUUGAGUAAGGUAUCUAAGCUGCAUCUCAAUGAGGAAUGUGCAAGUAUGCUCUCUCGAUAUUCUAGUAUACUUAAAUGGUAACAAAAGAAGACCAGGUAAUUCAUCAUCGAUCAAAUCUUACUUCUCUCAUGUACUGAGGCAUAAAAAACGACUAUGUGUAUUGAUCCCAUUAACUUCCAAACCACAGAACAUAAACUAACACGCCAAAAAAUAGUAUUUGGAAUUUUUUUGACAAAAAGCCUUUGUCAAAAAAACAACAUGCCUACGUUUAUAGACAGAACAAAAGGAUCACAUUAAAACAGAGAAACAACAUGACUACGUUUAUAUACAGAACAAAGGCAUCAGAUCAAAACAGAAAAAGUUGAAAGGAUAUCCUAAAGAAGUUUGCAUGUUGCGUCAGUAUAUGGCUAACUAUUUCUAAUCCCACCUCUUUGUUCAUACAGUACAGACCUGAGAGAGACAAAGAUGAAAUUUUAAGACAAAACAAUUUGUGCUACUAAUUUCAUAAUAUGAAUAUUAAUAUUUAUACAUCAAGGAGGCUCCACCAAAUACAAUAAUACUUAAGACAAUAGCGUAUGCAAAUUGUAUGGAAUUUAUGAAUUUUAUUUACAAUGCUGAAGUAAACUAAUUAACCUUUAGCUUUCACGUGUUUUAACUAAAAAAAAAAGUUAGUAUCUUGGUCAGAUUUUUAAAGAAUUCAGAUCCAUUCCACAAACAUAUACAUGUUACGACAGAAGUGGAUAUAUAAUCAUACUCCAAGCUAAAGUAAAUGAUCUCAUCAGCUGCACCUUCAGUCACGAGACUCACGACAUGUGCUCGCUCCUCUACCAUUGCAUCUGAGCAGUUUUAAUAUUUCAGAAAGUAUUGGAUUGGCUGAAGAAAAGCUAUCCCUUGCGCCAAUCAUACAAACCUUCAUCUCAUUUUUGGAAAGAGAGAAAUCUAUGAUUAUCCUCCUCCAUGUCCAUUUCUCGCUCUCCUAAUUCCAUUUAUCAAGAUAUCAAAACCAUCAUCCAAACAAAACUCAUGGAUCAUGAUGGCACACAUACUUUUCUAUAAUCUCUGUUUUGUUCAUUUUAAAGCAGCAUCAAAAAAAUGUUCUGCAAUUAAGCUAAUAUAUUUUACAAUCCUAUUCCUCGUAUCCACCCUUAUUCUAGUUUUUUUUUUGAAACACUUUUUUUUUUUUUUGAAACACUCACCCUUAUUCUAGUAUACGUACAAAAAAUUCUAUGUAAUGCUGAUUACUUCUGUUUUUUAAUAGAUUAACCAUUUAACAAAUUUUUAAGAUCAUCUUAUCAACAAAUACAGUCACAGCUUUCAUGUUAAAUCAAAAAUAGAUAACAUCUUAUCAACAAAUACAGUCACAGCUUUCAUGUUAAAUCAAAAAUAGAUAAUAAAAAUUAAUCAUACUUGAAACAGAA